ensembl:lncRNA
CCUGGCACCUGCUACCAUACCCCGUUCAAAGGCACUUACAUUUAUUGUCUUGACAAUUCAUCCUCUGAAUGGCACACAUACACAAUCCAUGUCUCAAUUGUCUCAAGAUUUGAAAAUCUUUUUCCUGCCUCAUCCCCUGCAUCUACAUUGAUUGAAGUGGAUUUAACAAGUGACAUGAAUAAGGGGUCAUAGCUUUCACCUGGAUUCAACUGGUCAGUCUAUGUCAUGGAAAAAGCAGCUGUUUUUCAUGUUUGUAUACUCAGUGUACAUCAAGCUGACUCACGUCUCACUACAGAAACAGAAGAUUGGCUCUUGUGAUCCAUUCCGGCUCAUACAAACCAUGGCUCUUGCAAGAUUAAUACUGUUUGCUUUGGAACUAUCAUCUUGCCAAGGAGUUAAGGGAUUUCCUCCUCUUCCGGAGAGGCGAAAAGGAUCAGAGGACCAAUAUGCGGCGUGGUAAGUGUCCAUGGUUCUUUUAAUAAGAAAUAAUACACAUGAACAACUGAAUACAAAAACAAUAAACGAAACCCAAAACAGUACCGUGUGGUGAAAACCACAGACACGGAAGCAAACACCCACAAACAAACAGUGAAACCCAGGCUACCUAAGUAUGAUUCUCAAUCAGAGACAACUAAUGACACCUGCCUCUGAUUGAGAACCAUACUAGGCCGAAACAUAGAAAUCCCCAAAUCAUAGAAAAACAAACAUAGACUGCCCACCCCAACUCACGCCCUGACCAUACUAAAUAAUGACAAAACAAAGGAAAUAAAGGUCAGAACUUGACAAGAGUUUUUCAAUUUUCCCAGAAGUGGUUAGAAUCUAUGGAUUCUUCAAUUACAUUGAGCUGAUUUCUGAUGUGCUGUUCCUUCUUUUUCCGUAGUGUAUUUCUGUAUUGUUUUAGUGAUUCACCAUUGUCAAGGUGUUUGGUUUUCUGGGUCUCUAUUUUAUUGGUUGGAUAGGUUUCUCCAUUUCUUUCUUAGGUUUUUGCAUUCUUCAUCAAACAACUUGUCAUUGUUGUUAAUCUUUCUUAGAUUGUCUACAUGAAAAACAAAUAGUUUAUAUACUGUUUAGGUUUUCUACUGCCAAGUUUACAUCUUCACUAUUACAGUGAAACAUUUUGUCCAGGAAAUUGUCUAGAAGGGAUUAAAUUUGUUGUUGCCUAAUAUAUAAUUUUGUAGAUUUCCACAUUACUUUCCUUCCAUCUAUAGCAUUUCUUAAUAUUAUUCAGUUCCUUUGAUGGCUCAUGAUGGCUCAUGAUUGAGCAAAGCUCUGUUCAAGUAGAAUAUGAUUUUGGUGUGAUCUGAUAGCAGUCGACUGACUGUGAACGCUCCAAGAGACUCUGGGUUGAGGUCAGUGAUAAAGUAGUCUACAGUACUACUGCCAAGAGAUGAGCUAUAGGUGUACCUACCAUAGGAGUCCCCUCGAAGCCUACCAUUGACUAUGUACAUACCUAGCGUCUGACAGAGCUGCAGGAGUUGUGACCUGUUUUUGUUGGUUAUGUGGUUGUAGUUUGUCUAGGGGGGAUUUGGGGGAGGGAAUGUUGUCACCUGCAGGCAGGUGUUUGUCCCUCUGUGUGCUGAUGGUGUCAGGUUCUUGUCCAGUUCUGGUAUUUAGGUUGCCACAGACUAGUACAUGUCCCUGGGCCUGGAGAUUGUUGAUCUCCCCCUCUAGGAUGGAGAAGCUAUCAUUGUUAAAGUAUGGGGAUUUUAAUGGGGGGAUAUAGGUACAGUAUAUGGAGCAACGGCUCUGGAGCAACAAACCGCCCUUGCUGCCUCUGCCUGGCCGGUUCCCCUCUCUCCACUGGGAUUCUUUGCCUUUAUCCCUAUUACAGGGGCUGAGUCACUGGCUUACUGCUGCUCUUCCAUGCCAUCCCUAAGAGGGGUGCGUCACUUGAGUGGGUUGAGUCACUGACGUGAUCUUCCCCCUUGGGUUGUGCCGUGGCGGAGAUCUUUGUGGGCUAUACUCGGCCUUGUCUCAGGAUGGUAAGUUGGUGGUUGAAGAUAUCCCUCUAGUGGUGUGGGGGCUGUGCUUUGGCAAAGUGGGUGGGGUUAUAUGCUGCCUGUUUGACCCUGUCCAGGGGUAUCAUUGGAUGGGGCCACAGUGUCUCCUGACCCCUCCUGUCUCAGCCUCCAGUAUUUAUGCUGCAGUAGUUUAUGUGUCGAGGGGCUAGGGCGAGUCUGUUAUAUCUGGAGUACUUCUCCUGUCUUAUCCGGUGUCCUGUGUGAAAUUAAGUAUGCUCUCUCUAAUUAUCUCUUUCUUUCUCUCUCUCGGAGGACCUGAGCCCUAGGACCAUGCCUCAGGACUACCUGGCAUGAUGACUCCUUGCUGUCCCCAGUCCACAUGGCCGUGCUGCUGCUCCAGUUUCAACUGUUCUGCCUGCGGCUAUGGAACCCUGACCUGUUCACCGGACGUGCUACCUGUCCCAGAGCUGCUGUUUUCAACUCUCUAGAGACAGCAGGAGCGGUAGAGAUACUCUUAAUGACCGGCUAUGAAAAGCCAACUGACAUUUACUCCUGAGGUGCUGACUUGCUGCACCCUCGACAACUACUGUGAUUAUUAUUAUUUGACCAUGCUGGUCAAUUAUGAACAUUUGAACAUCUUGGCCAUGUUCUGUUAUAAUCUCCACUCCACAGAAGAGGACUGGCUACCCUUCAGAGCCUGGUUCCUCUCAGGUUUCUUCCUAGGUUUUGGCCUUUCUAAGGAGUUUUUCCUAGCCACCGUGCUUCUACACCUGCAUUGCAUGCUGUUUGGGGAUUUAGGCUGGGUUUCUGUACAGCACUUUGAGAUAUCAGCUGACGUAAGAAAGGCUUUGUAAAUAAAUAUGAUUUGAUUUAGGUAGCACACAUGAAGACAUUUUUCUCUGUUGAGAUAGUUUCCUUAUGCAUUUCUAGCCAGAUGUAAAAUGUUCCUGUUUGGACUAAUUUAAUAAAGUGGGGUAGCUAUAUACCUAAUUAGCAUACCCCCUGAGACGCUUCCCUCUUUCACACCUGGUAGUUUGGUGGAUGGAACUACCAGCUCUCUGUAACCUUGAGGGCAACCAGUGGGUCCGUCUCCUUUAUACCAUGUUUCUUGUAUAAUGACAAUGUCUGUAUUUCCAAUUACUUUGAUGAAGUCUGGGAUCCUGCUCUUUAGGCCAAUGGCAGAUGACCUCCAACCCUGUUGUUAUCCAGUAUGAG